rnacentral:rRNA from 1 species
UACGAAGGGAGCUAGCGUUGUUCGGAAUCACUGGGCGUAAAGCGCACGUAGGCGGAUGUGUCAGUCAGGGGUGAAAUCCCGGAGCUCAACUUCGGAACUGCCUUUGAGUACAGCACGUCUUGAGUCCGAUAGAGGUGGGUGGAAUUCCUAGUGUAGAGGUGAAAUUCGUAGAUAUUUAGGAAGAACGACCCGGGUGGACGAAGGCGGCC